UAUAAUAUUUAGAGUUAUAUGUAUGUAUAAUUUAUAGAUUUAAUGUAUAUUUAUAAUAAAAUAAGAAAAUUACCUUGUGGUUUAUGUUAAUAUAUUUGUAUAUCGAAAAAGGGAGCGUGCGAACACGUGACUUGCUCAUAUGUUAUUAAUAUGUUAUUACUUAUUUGCCCUUAUUUGUGGUACUAUUCCACGUGACUUGCGUAAUUACUUGCGCCAAAAUGUAAAAAAAUCAAGGGAAUGAUCGGUGAUAGUCAUGAGUGCUCUAUACAAUUCCAAUAUUCUCUGCAGUGAAAACUAAAACAAUCAAGCUCUAGUAAGAAAAUCUAAAGUUAUAGCCCAAAAACUUGAAAAUGAAAUAUAUUGAUUUAGAAAUUAAUGUUUUUACAGUUUUAUGUUUAGUGCUUUUAAACUUUAAAUUAGUUCUACAGUAAUAAAAUCUAAAAAUAAAACCACAGAAUCUAAAGCAAAAAAAUCAAAGCUAUAACCUCUUCUAAUCAAUCUCUGAAAAAAAAAUUUAAUUGCUUACUGCUAGCGAAAAGAGAGAGUGAGAUAAGAGUACGAGAGCAAAAUUACUGAUUCUCGCUUGGGGUUGGUAAUACGGCAUGCAAUCAAGCUCUAGCUAUCAUUAGUAUACAUUCUUCCCUUUAACAAUCCUGAACUUUUCCAAAUCCAACCAACACACACAUAGAACAUAACAUAUUAAAAAAAAAAAUCUAAAAUAGCAAUCAGUCUCUGGGUUAUGAUUACUCUAAUUCAGAUUAGAAAAAAUUCACUAUCUUCAAAUGAUUCUCGUGAAUGAUUUGUUUUGAAGUUUUUAUGAAUUUUUGUAUUUUCUGUAUUUUUAUAUUUAUUUUAUUAAUAAAAUAAUUUAAAAUAUUCGUUGUGAAUUUUUUUAUUUUUUGUGAAUUUUAUUGACUUUUUAUGAUUUGUUUUGAAUUUUUUAAUGAUUUUUUAUAUUUUGUGUAUUUUUAUAUUUAUUUUAUCAAUAAAAUAAUUUAAUUUUUUUGGGUGAAUAUUUUAUGAAUUUCUAGUAUUUUUAUGAUUUGUUUUGAAUUUUUUUAUGGAUUUUUAUAUUUUACUUAUUUUAUACUUAUUUUACUAAUAAAAUAAUAUAAAUAUUGUUAUGAUUAUUUAUUUUUGUAAAAUUUUAUGAUUAUUUUUAUAUUUAUUUUAUCAAUAAAAUAAUUUAAAAUACAUUUUGUGAAUUUUUGAAUUUUGUGAAUUUUAUAGACUUUUUAUGAUUGGUUUUGUUUUUUUAUGAAUUUUAUAUUUUUGUAUUUUUAUAUUUAUUUUAUUAAUAGAAAUAAUUUUUAAAAAUGUGGUGAAUAUUUUGAUUUUUGUGAAUUUUUUGUAAUUAUUUUUGAAUUUUCUAGUGAAUUUUUAUAUUAUUAUUUAUUUUAAUAUUUAUUUUAUUGAUAAAAUAUUUUUUUUAAAAAAUUAAAAAAAAAGAAAACUGACACGUCAUCGAUUUUGAACAGUACCGGUUAUCGUUUUGACUUGAUAUACAAGUAAGCCAGAGUGGAGGUUUCUUUUGAUAAAAAUGUCGCUUUAAAGGAUUAAAGUGCUUGUGAAAUACUCCGAGGGUUUAAAGUGUAAGUGGCUGCCACUUUGAAGGUUUUUUAUGCGAUUUUUUCGUUAUUCAAUGUCCACUAGGAGUUCUCCUGCACGAUGCGCAGAUAUAAAAUAUUUAAAAAUUUUAUAUAUAAAUAAAAUUUUCUGUUUUUCUAUUUUACUUUUAUUAGUUUAAAAAAUAAAACCAUAAUGUAAUUGUUUUUAGUUUGAUUUAUUCAAGUUUAGUUUGACCUUUUAAUUUUGCAUUAUUUUACUUUUGAUAAAAAUAAUUGAAAUUUAUAAAUUUACUUUAUUAUAUUAUUCUUUAUUUAAUUACCAUUUUUAAAUAUUUCUAUUUGUAAAUAUAUAUAUUAUUUCUAAUAAUAUAUAAAUUAAAUAAAAAUAACUUAUAUACAUUGAUAAAAUAUAGUUUAAACUACACUUAUUUUAAUAAUAAAAAUAUGAUUCAUAUAUUGAUGUAAAAUUUUAAUAUUUGUUAUUAUUAUUUAUAUAUAAAAACAUAUUAUUUUAAUAGAUAUAGAAAAGUUAUUAGGUAUCAUAAAAUCUUACCAAAAUGAAUAUUUUCUGAGAAAAAAUAUUUUUGAUAUAAAAUUUAUUAGUUAUUACUAUAUUAUGAAGCUUUUCCAAAAAUAUAAAUCCGUAUAUAGAAAAUCAUCAUUAUUAUAUUUAAGAAAUCUUACCAAAAACAUAAAUCUAAAUAUAGUAAUUUUACAUGUAACAAUUAAAUUUAUGCCAUGUCAUAUUUUUUUUAAGCCAUGUUAUUAUUUUUUUGUGAAAGUUAAUGUAUUGAUCACACUUAUACAAAUCAAUUCUCAAAUAUAGUCUAAGUGAUUGGAUUUUAAUAGAAUUUGAGCGGAAUUUGGUGUACUUUUGUAUAAAAAAAUAAGCAUAAACAGAAUCCAGCACUUCUAGCUUGGAUUUUGAAUUUAUCAAAUAUUUUUUUUUCUUUACGAUUCUCUUUGGUUAAGUUUUAAUCCCAGCCCAGAUAAAGUUAGACGUAGACAAAUUCGGUGAAGUUGAUUCUCCGUUAAUCCUCAAAACCAAUUCUCACCUCUUCUAACCCUAAACUCAAGUUUAAUCGGACGUACCAUAGCUUCUGACUUUGAAGCCAUAGUUCCAUUCUCAACCUCGUCGGAGUUUUCUCUAAUAUGCUGUCUUGUUACAAAUCUUGUCUCGUUAUAAUCCGAACAAAAAGGUAAGAACUUUGAUUUAAUGAUAUUAGAAAGUGUAGGUUUUGAUAAUCAACCAACUUGUUUUUAUUAACAUCAUACGAUCCCAUAUUUAUACAAAGACUAAGGCGGUGAAACAUAUUUCCUUGCCUUGUCGUAUAAGGAAACAAUCCUUAUCACAUAUAGGAAAAUAUACAACCAAAUAUAUGACAAUAUCUCCAAUACUCCCCCUCAAGUUGGAGCAGGAGAAUCUUGAAUGCCCAACUUGGAUACUAACUUUUGAAAUGGAACCCGUCCAAGUGCUUUAGUUAAUAUAUCUGCUAUCUGCGAAUCCGUGCGUAUAUGCUGAGUGACGAUGAUCCUCUCUUGAACUGCAUCUCUCACAGAAUGACAAUCAUUCUCAAUAUGUUUUGUUCUUUCGUGAAAGACCGGGUUGGCAGCUAUGUGAAUCGCAGCCUUACUGUCACAAAAAAACGAGUAGGAGUAAACUGCUCAAGAACCAGUUCUUUUAAAAGCUUUCGAAUCCAUUUCGUCUCUCGUAAUACUGUUGCCAUAGACCUAUACUCUGCUUCGGCAGAAGAAUGUGACACAGCUCGCUGCUUCUUAGUCUUCCACGCAAUAGGUGAUCCACCAAGCAUAACCACGAAAGCGCUGAGUGAUCUUCGGGUAAGAGGACAAGAUGACCAAUCUGCAUCGCAGUAUACUGAGAGCGUGAGAUCAGGGUCGGAUUGUAGCAGAAUUCCCAGACCCAACGUCCCUUUCAGAAACCGCACAACACGAAGUGCAGCAAGCCAAUGAGCCUCUUUCGGAUGCUUCAUAAAUUGCGAAAGAAUAUGGACUGAAUAACACAACUCAGGCCUAGUAUUCAGAAGAUAUAUCAGCCUACCAACAAGCCGCCUGUACUUAGUCGGAUCAGCAAGUGUUGGUCCCUCUGCUUUAGCAAGUUGAUGAUUCUGCUCAAGAGGUGUGUGAGCUGGUGUACAACCUAAAUUUCCAGUCUCUGUGACUAUAUCCAAAGCAUACUUGCGUUGACAAAGAAAAAUACCUUCUGGACCUCUCAACACUUCAAUACCAAGAAAAUAUUUUAAUUUUCCCAAAUCUGUCAUCGCAAAGCAUUUACCCAAGUAGUCUUUGAAACGCUUCACCAUAUGUAAAUUAUUACCACAAAUGAGAAGAUCAUCAACAUAAAUCAGUACUCGUAUCUCAAUAUCCUUGCACGAGUAAGAGAACAGCGAAUAAUCUUCAUAUGACUGAACAAAACCGAAUUUAAGAAGUGCAUCUGAAAGUUUCUUAAACCAACACCGCGGAGCUUGUUUAAGUCCGUACAAAGACUUUCUCAGGCGACACACUUUACCAGGAUGUGUAUGACGGAAACCUGGUGGGAGCUUCAUGUAAACUUCUUCCUCAAGGUCGCCAUGUAGAAAAGCGUUUUGCACAUCCAUUUGAUAGACUUCCCAUUUCUUUGCCGCAGCUAGACGCAGAAGAGUGCGUAUUGUGGUCAUCUUAACGACUGGAGCAAACGACUCAUUAUAGUCUGCUCCUGCGACCUGCUUAUUACCUUUCACCACCAAUCGAGAUUUGUGUCUUUUGAUGGUCCCAUCAGAAUUGUAUUUUAUCUUAUAGACCCACAGACUAUCAAGAGCUGCCUUUCCCGGAGGCAGAUCAGUAAUGUCCCAAGUGUGACUAUCCUCAAGCGCCACAACCUCCACUGUCAUAGAAUUAUCCAUAUUUUACUACGCACAGCUUCUUGAAAGUGUUUAGGCUCCUGUGCACUUGUGAUCGCAGUCAUAUAAGCCCGAUGACCUGGUGAGAAUUGUUCAUCAGUUAUACAGUCUGACAGAGGAUAAAGAGGAAUACCUGGAUCGUUAGACGAGGACAACAUGUUGGAGUUGGGAAGAGCGUGAUGUGUAUUAGGCGUGCUCGCGGCAGUCGGCACUGUAGAGAAGAAAAUCUUUCAACAAGACCGAUUGUGUCUUCUCUCUGUGUCCUCUACCAAGAUUUUCGGAGGUCUCACUGGCCAGAGGCGAGCCCAAGUUCUCAACGAGCUCUGCUUCUGGUAAAGGCAACUCAGUUUCAGUUUCAGUUGCUUCAACACUAGCAACAUUUUGUUCAUCUGUAUCAACUGCAGGAGACACUUGACUGCUCCCCCUGUUAUCAAGACCCACGACCCAGUCCUCAUCAAGAAUCACAUCCGACGAUGGCACUGCAGGCUGGUCAAGUUUUGACUCUGCAAACGGGAACACAUCUUCCCGGAACACGACGUCUCGAGAAACCAGAAACUCGUUACGUUCAACAUCAUACACUUUCCAUCCUUUCUUGCCGAAAGGAUAGCCAACAAAUAUACAUGACCGACUUCUUUGACCAAACUUAUCUUUGUCUCGAUUCAUCUUGUGCGUGUAACAGGCUGAUCCAAAGACUUUCAACAGUUUAUAAUCUGGUUGCACUCCAUAAAGGACUUCAUAAGGAGUUCUUCCUUUAAGUACAGAGGUCGGAGUUCGAUUUAUCAAAUAUGCAGCGGUAAGAACAGCUUCGCCCCAAAACUUAAUCGGCAAGUUAGCUUGAAACAUGAGUGCUCGAGAGACAUUCAAAAUAUGUCGAUGUUUUCUUUCAACCCUUCCAUUUUGCUGUGGUGUUGCAACACAAGACGUCUGAUGAACGAUGCCAUUUUCUUUAAAGUAAGAUGACAAGACCAUGAACUCGGUACCGUUGUCACUGCGAACCGUUUUAACCGACUUCCCAAACUGCUUUUCAGUAUAAGCAAGGAACUGUUUUAAGACAACCUUGACUUCUGAUUUUUCAAGCAACAGAUAAGUCCACACUGCUCGAGAAAAAUCAUCGACGAUGGUAAGAAAAUACACUGCACCACAAGAAGAAGGCACUCGAUAUGGACCCCAAACAUCGACAUGAAUAAGAGAAAAACAUUCUGACGUUUUAUUUGAACUAUCAUUAAAAACUUCUCGAGUUUGCUUAGCUCUAAAACAAAUGUCACAUGGACUAGAGCCAGCUAAGUUAGAAGAACCAGAAAACAAAGCCAAAUCCUUAAAUACUGAGAAAGACGGAUGCCCCAAACGCCGAUGCCACAAAGCCUGAUCGGAAAUACCACUGACUCGGUGACUCUUUGCUGAGACUCUGUCUGUGAAGUAAUACACACCAUCACGCUCUUCACCGGUUCCAAUCAGCGUCCUCGAAAAACGGUCCUGCAAGACGCAAACUGUAUCAGUAAACAUUGCAAAACAACUCGCUUGUUUCAACAACUUUGCUACAGAAAUCAGAGUGCAAUUUAAGUCUGGAACAUAUAAAACUCUCGACAACGUUAUUUUAGACGAGAGCGCAAGAGAUCCCCAGCUCAUCGCAUAUGUCUUUCCUCCAUCAGCAAAAGCGACAGAGCAUGGAGAAAUCGGCUCAACGUUCGUCAAAAGCGACAAUAAACCUGUCAUGUGGUGCGAAGCACCUGUGUCGAGAAUAACAUCACCCAGUUUACUCUUACCAGACAGUCUAUCUGCAGCAUUGGCUCCAGACUUCUCUUGAAUCAUUUGUGUACGGAUCUUCCACUGAUCAGAUGUGAAAUCAGGAAAUUCCGACGAGUUUGAACUCGUAGCAUGAGCCGCACAAGCUCGUCCACGACCACGACCACCACUACGGCCUCCUCUUCCACGACCACCACUACCUUGUCCACGCCCUGCACCACGUUCUGGAAACCACUCCGGAAAGCCCACUAUCUGAUAACAAUCCCGUUUCUCAUGACCAGUUCUUCCACAAUGCGAGCACAACAAUCUGGGUUUAAGAAUUGUGUUCUCUGUUCUGCUCUGCGUCUCGGUUGAACUCAACUGCUGACCUUUACGAGACACUUCAUCAGACUGUGUUUGUCGUGCGACAAACCCGACUGCUUCUUGCUGAUCACGUCCACGAGCUGACGCAAGGCGUUGUUCCUCUCUUAUUAUUUUACUGUAAAUCUUGCCAAGAGAGGGAAGAGGAUCUUGACCAAUAAUUGAGGUACAGAUUCCUCCAAACCGUGAGUCAUCAAGACCCAUAACAAACUGGUGAAUCUUCUCUUGCUCUCUUUCACCAGCGAUGGCAGCAGCAGCUCCACAGGUACAUGUGUGAACAGGCUGAUACAUCUGCAACUCUUCCCACAAUGUAGAGAGCCUUCCAAAAUAGUCCAACACGGACUGGCCAUCCUGCUUACACGAAACGAGCUGCACCUUUAUCUGAUGCACUCUCACUGUGUUUUCCACCGAGAAACGUUGCUUCAGAUUCUCCCAAAGCUGAUGUGCAUCUGUGAUGUACGUAACUGUGGACUUCACCUUUGGCUCGAUGGAAGCUCGGAUCCACCCAACAAGCAUAGAAUUGACUGUCAACCAAUUCUCAAGAUCUGGACUGGUUUCAGCCGGCUUCACCAAGGUUCCUUUGAUAAAACCUAACUUUCGUUUUGCUUGAAAAGCAUUCAACAUCUCCGAAGACCAUUCAUUGUAGUUUUCUCCAUUCAAACGAACCGACGAGAUCACGGCUCCAGGGUUGUCAGCAGCGUAUAGCGUAUACGGCGAGACCGACACAACUUCAUCUUUCUUUGGGUUGGCUUGAGCCAACUCACGAUCAUCCGACAUAGCGAAGCUUGCUCAGAAUCUUUGCAAAGAUCCGAUUUGUAACUUCUUCAAUCGUAUCAAUGCUCUGAUACCAUGUAGGUUUUGAUAAUCAACCAACUUAUUUUUAUUAACAUCAUACGAUUCCAUAUUUAUACAAAGACUAAGGCGGUGAAACAUAUUUCCUUGCCUUGUCGUAUAAGGAAACAAUCCUUAUCACAUAUAGGAAAAUAUACAACCAAAUAUAUGACAAUAUCUCCACUAGAAAGUAUUCUACAUUGGCCUUUAGAUUAUUAUAUGCGAUCAUUAGAGAGAAUUAGAAGUAGUGGCCUCGAUGCAAGCUGUAACGACCCGGUUCAUCAAAAUCGGUUUGGUUUGGUUUAAUUACAAUUUUAAUUAUAACUUAAACCAUCCUCUUUACUUCUUGGUCAAAUCGUGCAAUAUAUAUAUCAUUGUACGCAUCUCCCUUCCUCUCAUUUGACCUAGCCGUAAUCACCAUCGCAGCCAUUCUUCAUCGUUAUCUUCUUCUUCAUAUUAACCAUCUCACGUCAUGUUCACGUUCUUCUCUCAUCAUGUUGACCCAAGGCAGAGCCGGAGAUUCCUUACCGCGCCGGAGCCGUCACGUUCAUCACAACUAGCCACAGAUUUGCACCGCCAUGAUCCGCUUGCUGCCGUAGUUGUCAUAAACCACCGUCAGGAUCCAAGCUAGAGAGAUCGUGAUCUCACACCUGCUUGCUCCACUGUCGCUACUCACCCCCGAUCACCAACCGUUACCAUCAGAUACAUGGCUAAGGAGUGGUUUUGCGAGAGGUUUCUAGUACGGUGCAGGGGAUUCUAGGGUGUGCGCCAUGGCUCUUGGGAUAGAUCUCGUUUCCAGGAAUCUGUAGAAGCAAACAGAAUCUAGAUCAGAGUUGUGAAGCAAAAGUUAUUGCUGUUGCUUCUUGGGCAAGAAUAAGCUUAAGCUGUUGCGCUGCAGAGACAGUUCCGACCAGUCUCAGCGUAAAGGUGAAAUGGUCAGCCUAAUCAAAAUAUUUCAGUCUGGAAUUUUGUCAGUAAGUAUUUAACUCUUUUAUCUAUCAUCUCCAAGAAGCGGAUUGUCAUUCCAAGUUAUUUUCUGAGAGUUAAGCUUGUUUUCGUGAGAGGUGUUGGUGCAGUCUACGUUUGCGACCAGUCUGGAGACGAAGCUAAUUUGAUUAAUCAGAUGGAGUCCGAUCGGAGUAAAACCGGUGGCUACGGAUAUAGGACAUCUAGGGCUACAUUCGGACCGGAGAGAUUGAAAAGUUAACGGUCAGUUCUUGAGUUAUGCAUCUGUUUUCUCUUGGGUUCAGUUCUGGCAGAAUCAUCAUACUCAUUUAUUUUCAGACUUUCGGAGUUGCUGUGAUAGAGCCAUCAAGGGCUAUUCUGUGCUUCUCAGGUUCUUUAGAACCGUGGCAAAGGUGAGGGUCUACUCCGUAAAUCCCAUACCAGUAUAGAAUUCUCUCUAUCGUAGUUUAGAUUUCGAAUCAUGAUCCGUCUGUUUGAAUUGAGUCUGUUUGAAGUACAAUCAAACUCUAAUUCCAUUACCUAAUUAUAAUUCUCAAUUCAAUAACACCUCCUAUAAGUGUUUUUAGAAGGGUUUAUCAAUAAGAAAUUAAAAAAGACUUUAAAAUCAAUAAAUCUGACUGGAUAAAAAUAACUUACGAAGGCUUAGGAUUUUCUUAAAGCCUUCAAACUUCAAGGCUUUUGAAACCAUAUUACCAAUUACAAAAAAUAUCUUUUAUGUUUCAAUUUCCGCCAUUACGAUCUUCUUCUUCUUCCACCUUCACCAGUCUCGCUUAGACACCCUCUUCUAUUGAUUGCUCUUUGGCAAUGAAUGAUUCCUGCUACUCUGUUUAGAUCCAGUGAUUAAUAUCUACCCACCAUCUCUUGAACAUUGUGGUUUAUCUCGGUUGUCCAUGUAUCUUGGAAGGUAAAGGGCAAUGCAAUACGUUUCAUAACAGAACAUAGAGACUCAAGGGAAAACUUUCGCACAGUCUUUUGAUGAUCUCCUAAUUGGUCUUCAUUGAACUUAAUACUCCUUCUCGCUACCGGCACAACACUACAACAGCUCUGUGGGAUGAGAGAAUCUCUUGUCAUACGUCUAAGCAUAAGAGGCUACAUGAAGCAUCAGAUUUUCCCUCGAUCUAUCCAAAGAAAGCCAUUUCAUUGCUCUUUACUUAAUCUCCAGCUUAUGAUUCUCAACUAAAAUUAUUAAAUCAACUCAAUGACGAAGUGCAUUAUGAAAGGAUGCAAUUAUAAAUCAUUAUUUAGAUAAUGGAUAUGUUUAUAAACCGAUGGUUUAUAUGGUUUAAGUGUUCUAUACGGUUAAGGGUUACUUAAUUUAUAACAUAAAAAGUAGAUGUUAAUUUAAAAUGCUUCCGCUGCAUUUUAAUAAUAGGUAAUACAUGUUAUGAAAUAUUAACACAAUCUUUUAAAAAAAAUUAUGUUAUGAAAAAUUAACAUAAUAUUAAAAGAAAUAUACCUAUUAGUGUUUUAAUGUUUGUAUAGUUUAUAACAUGUUAGUCACCAAAGUGGCCUUGUUAUUUACUUAUAAAUAUUAAAAGAUAAUAGUAGGAUAAUUGAUCAUGAUCUAAGAGAUGCUAAAAACGACAUUAAAGCUUUAGUGAUCAAUUAUUUUAUUUUCUAUGUUCAAGGAGAUCAUCCAAAGGUGGAUCAUUGAAUAUAGUUAAUAAUAAGAAAAGGAUUAAUCACUUUUUACUAUAGUUGAUAGGAUACUAUUUGACUUGAGUUUCAAGUGAUUAAUCAUUAAAGUAUAUUUUAGCAUCACUGAUAAUGUUUGUGUUUAAGUAUUGCCCAAAGAUUGCUUAAAUACACUUGAAAGUUCAAGUUUACAUUUUUCCACUCAUAUCCCAGUUGAAUUUGAAAGGUGAUACAAAAUAAUUUAUACCGUGAGGCCACUUUUGCUUAAAAGUAUACCAAAGUGGUCUCAUAUCGUCUGCGGUAUACAUUUUUCCACUCAUAUCCAGUUUUCCAUCGCAUUUUGUUCACUGAUGACAUCCUCCUAAUGUGUCAAGCCUCAAUGGAGGAAAGUUCUGAGCUAAAAACCAUCUUAGGAAACUACGAGGCAGCCUCUAGACAAACCAUUAACUUCUCAAAAUCUUCAAUUAACGUUGGCUCAUUGGUUAACGAAAAUAAGAAAGAAGAGAACAAAGGCAUUUUGCGUGUCGAGACUGAAGGUGACGAAAGUAUGUAUAUCUCAAUAUUCCAAAGAUCUUUAGUGGUUUCAAAAUCAAACUCCUUAACUUUAUAAAAGAAAGAAGAGAACAAAGACAUUUGCAAAACUCUGCCACUUCUUAUGAAGGGGUCUCUGGAGCAUUGGCUGUUAAAGAAAGGCUAAAAUUUCAUUGCAUCAAUCUGGACACAACCUGUGAUGUUUGUGGGCAUCACUCCGAAACUAAUAUGUCAUGUCUUUUUUUGUCUCUUAGCACAAAACAUAUGGGACUCCUUAGGCUCCAUUACCACCAGUGGGGUUCUCGCAAAACUCGGUCUUCCUAAUUAACUUUCAUCAUCUACUGAAGACUAGCAAGAGAAAAAACACCGACUACAGGUUACGAAGAACCUUCCCAUGGGUCCUUUGGCAUCUCUGGAAAGCCAAAACCACUCUUCUCUUUGAAAAAGCUCAAACCUCACCUUUAGAUAUUUUGAGCAAAGCCAGGAAGGAUGCAAACUUGUGGAUUCAGGUUAACUACCAAGAAACACCCUCUAUUAACCAUGCUGCCGUUACACCCUCUACUAACCCUGCUGUCGUGAGACCCUCUACUCAUACCUCUGUUUGGCAUAAACCAAGACAAGGAGACCUGAAAUGUAAUGUUGCUUCCUUCUGGAUACUAUACAAUCACCAUGGAGAAACAUUACUCAAUAGUAGAAGAACUUGCACCAAACUAGGCUAUGAAGUGCAUGUUGCACUCCUCAACCUCCACUGGGCCAUUAAAAGCAUGAUGCACCUCCAUUUUCACCGAAUUAUCAUAGAGUUUUCCUUGACUGCUCUGAGAGACGUUCUAUCCUCACCUGAAUUUUACCCUCAGUACCACAAGUCCACAACCUCUUUGAUGAUCUUCAGUACAUGCUUAAGUGUAUUGAUUAUUAGUGCUUUUGCCACGUGUCUCCUUCAGAAAACCAAGUUUCUGAAAGUAUUGCAUGGUCGGUGAUACUGAUAAGAGAUAAUAUAUCUAUUGUACGUGGCAAAAUGGUCCGUUGUGGCUCACCACAAUCCUUAAGGACAAUGCCAUGGAUAUGCUCUAAGACGGCCAUGGACUUGUGUUUCUAUCCCUCAUUGGGGUCUCUUACCAUUUAUUUUCUAUUUUCACUAAUGCUUUCUAGUUUUCAGAGUGGUUUUAUUUUUCUUUUAUAGAGCUCUGUUUUACUUCCUCCUUUAUAACUUCAACAUCAAUAUAUUGAAUAUCAAACCGGUGUUUAAAAAAAAUAACUAAGUUACAGAUGUAAACUUUACCAUUUGACUCAGGGUAUGACUGGUUUCUCCGCUACCACCCGCAAAAAAAACUUUUGCGGUUGAUAGUAGUUGUUGGCGUUUUGCAACAAUCACUCAGACCGCUCUAAACCGCUUCAAACCGCUUUUUUACCUCAUAAAUUCAAAAGUUGGUUCGAGCUAACGUUUGGGCGGUUGCGGGAGGAUAAUUUUAAAAAAAAAAAAUAUAUAAAUACAAAAAUAAAAACAUUCAAUAAAAAAUUUAAAUUAGAAUUAUAAAAUACUAAAAUAUAUCUAUUAUAUUUUAAUUAAUAUUAAAAAAUUUAACAAUAAUUUUUUUUCUAUAAUUAUUAUAAAUGUAAAUGUAAUAUUUUUAAUUUAUUAUUUAACCACUUCUGCAUUUGGUAGUUAACCAGUCAUAAGUACCGCACAAACACACCAAUUUCUAACCGCAUAAACAGUCGUACUAAUCUUUUAAAACUGUUAGAAACCACAACCACGCGCAAUCGCAACCGCUACGUUUGAACCAGUCAGACCAUCUGUAAUGUUUAUGAUAAACAAAAAUGAAAAAUAAAAAAAUCCAUAAUCAUUAACUUAAAUAUUCUAUAUAAGUUAAAGAUUCAAAAAAAAAUUCAUUUUUGAAAUUCAAAUGUAAUUUUUUUAGAAUUUUUUUUAAAUUAAGAAAUUUGAAUAAAAUAUGGAAGAUAACUUGUUCAUUUCUAUAUUUAAUAUAUAUAUGAAAAUUAUUAUACAGCCCAAAUUGGCAAAUUAGGUUAGUUUAGACAUUUUAUAAGUAAGUGUAGUUUCCUAAAUAUAUCUAUAUUAUAAUAGGAGAGUUUUGAGUCUCUCCUAAAGGUGUCCACGUGGACAUAUGUUUAAGUUUGUGGGGUACAUGUUUGGUUUGUUCAUUCAUUUUUUUUUCCGACUUGGGAUCUCCGCCUCGGUUCAAUCAUUUUGGUAUAUUCGGUAUCAUCGUAUUUCGUCUCUUCCAUCCGCGCCGUUUCCUCUAAUCUCUAAACUCUUAGCCUUGUCCUUUGCUUCUUUUUUUUUUCGCGACCGUCCUGCUGGUUAUCUCAACAUGCCGUUGAAGUGGCUAGAUAUCUACAGUGUACUGAUGGUUAGAGUUUUGCUGAAUUGGUUCCCCAACAUUCCGCCAGCCUUUGUCUGCCAUUAGAGAUCUCUGUGAUCCUUAUCUCAAUAUCGUCAGCCCUUUACUUGCUUUUUAUGCUUUGGGUUCCAUUCUCAACAAUAGCAGAUGAUUAAUUGUUCAAGUUAUCACUACGCUUAUGGAUCUUUGGUCUUUUAUGAACAACUCUUAAAUUAAUUGACCCGCAAGUCCACCAAUGACUCGAAUUUUCCAUUGCUUUCCACCAUUACAUCCUUAUUGUAAUAAGUUUUUAUAAUACUCACAUAACGCAUCAAUGUUUAGUGGUCUCCUAACCCCAGCUGAGAGAACCCAAUCUGUCAUGGUGGACACUACUGUUAACCCAAAAAUAUUUGGAGGUAAGUUUAUAUUUAAACUUAAAAACCAUGUUGACAAACGUUUUAGUUAAUGCAAAAUAUUUGGAGCAACCUAUGCAGCUGGACUGGCCGUUUGAUUCUGGAAGGAAGAAGACAUAUUUGAGUCAGGAGGAGAGAGGUCAAAGAACUCCAAAGUAUUCAGACCGGUUAUGGAAGAAAGUGGAGUCGUGGUGCAAAGCGGGGGAGAGAACAUUCGAUCGAAUCUUUGAGGUAAUAUAGAUCUCAACAUUAAACAACUGACCUUCCGUAUGUUAAUUCCUUCUUUUAAUAUUUGGAAUUAGUACUGUGACUAUAGGAUUUUCAAAACGUUUUUGAUUGAAAUUUCUCUGUUUUGUUAUACACUGGAGAUUGUUGACCAAAACGAACCCAAGAUUUAUCUGCUCUGACAUAGGUUGUUUAAGGUAAGAAAACUUCAUAUCUCUUUGAUUGUUUUUUCAGUUUGUGGAUUUUGUUCCCCUUUUAUGCUGGUUUAAAUCUCCAUAUUUACGCAUCUCAAGUUUCAGUCCUCUUACAGAGACAAUCUAAUCAUGAUAGAAAGUCUCUUAACAUUUAUUAGCAGCACACAUAUAUAUCUAAGCUGUGAUAUUCAGGCCACAAUUGAAUGUUUGAGAAAUUUAAAUGGGGAAUAGGUUGUGAAUAGGUUUAUUUUGGUUGAUUAGUUGGUAACAAUAUUUCAAAAAUUUAGUAUAAGUGAGAUCAUCUGCAAUGUUUUAUCAAUCAGUGCUGAUCUGUUUGUGUGAUAGUAGACGCGUGGCUAAAGAGGAGCGGAAAAAAAUGGGGACUAAGGCCGAUGAAAGGUUUCUAUUUCUCAAACAUCAAUAUUGUACAAGUUUUCUUUAUAUCCUUGGUCUCAGCAAGAUUUUGCUUCCCUUUAUUGGGCUGUGUUUUAAAAGCUGUCAUAAGUUGCACUAACUGAUAGUAAAUCAUUGGUGAGAUGGAAAAAAAUAUUACAGGAAAUGCUUUGGGGUUAACAAGAGCUGGCAUGGUGGCCUAUUUUGAGGUGCUGGUAGUGGUUGUGGCGGGGGUGGGGUGAUAGACGUCGUGGGAGCGUCAGCAAUGUAUGUGGCUUUAUGCAUGUGGUCGCUUUGUCAAGACUGAUGACUUCAGACUGAUUAUUUUGCAAGAAGGUUUAUAUCAAAGGUAUUUUUCGAUGUUGAAUCUUGCCUGAUAGAAUUAGCUAUUUAGCCUUUAUCUUAACAUGUUUACCUUUUUCUUGCACUUGAUGGUUAUAUAAGUUGCUAUAAAAAACCUCCCAUGCCGUUCUUCACUUUAUUCGGGAUAGAGGAUGCAGAAAAUUAUGUUGUAAGUUUCUGAUGCUGGUUCCAGUCUCCUUCAUUGACUCUUUGUGAUCUAUUGAUUAUAAAGCUGUAGACAUUGCUAAUUAAUCUAUUGUUUUCUGAACAGGUUGUUGCUUUCAACGAACUCAAAGUAUUCGCUCGAGUUAGAUCCAUCACCAACCAAUAUAAACGUACAAUUUUUCUUUAUAUUUUUUCCUUUCAGUUGUUCAACAUAGUACCUGAAUUAUGUGAUAUGUAUUGGAUUUGCAGAUCAGGUUUUUCGUUCAGGACUAAAUAUAUGCUAACAAUUCACGUCCUCCAGAUCCAGGUUCCGUGGAUAGUGCCAUUUUGUGGUCUUCGACAGAGAGACGAUGAAACUCAUCAAAAAGAGGCUACAAGUCUGGGUCUUAAAGAGGUACGUUUUUCUUUCAUAGUUCAGAUGAUUGUAUAUAAUUGUUUAUUCUGAAGUCCCACAAACCCCAACCUAAUUCAGAUGACCAGCAGUGAGGAAAUGGAGCUACCAAAAUGUCUUGAGGAGUUAGCUGGCAAUGAAUAUGUUUUUCAUCUACGUUGACUCCUUACAAUUUCACUCCAAAUCACCGUACGUUCACUGUAUCAUCAAUCAGUGAAGACGUUUUUACAUUUCAAUCCCACUUAGCUUUCAUUUCAUUUCAAUUGUCUAUUCCACAUGUUUCCUCUAUUUCAAACUUUGGUUGUCUCUAUGAUUUGCUGUAAACUAUUUUUUACUGGUGUAAAAAUUACUAUGACUUUAUAUAAUAAAGGAAGCGUGAACGUGUCUUUAGUUAAUUACCAAUGUCCCCAACUUUAUAGAUCAGUAAAGUUUAACGUCAAUAAUGCAUAAACGUGAGUUAUGUAAACAAGAUUUUUUUACUCUCUCUGACUUAAGAAAUGAAGAUUACAGCCUAAAAAAGAAAGACAUUUAAAAUACAGACAUGUAAACCUUUUCUAUUUUAAAAUUUUAUAGUAGAUGUAAUUUCACUUGCAAACUCUGCAAUAUUUAAAAUAGCAUUCCCUCGCACCCAAAAAACCACCAAAACAAUAAACUAACUGUAACAUAUAUAAAACCACAAACAUUUUUUUUCAAAUAAAUUCAGAGAAACAGCAAACAUAUAAUCAUACCUUCGAGAUAAGUCAUUUGAACACUAAAAGUAAAAAAUUCAUAAACUCACCACAACGUAACCAGUUCUAGCCACACAAAGCGAUCAAAGGUUUACCAAAAAAACCCCACAAAACACAUGAUAUACAAUUCUACUCACAUCCACUGCACAGUUUCAAUAACAUUUUUUUUUGGUAAAAAUGUAAAGAUAUUAUUACCAAGUUUUUAAAUUUUUGACAGAAAUACAAAGAAACUAGUAGCAGAAAAAUGAAAAUAAAAUCCUAAACAGAAACUCUAUCUAGUCUAAACCGGGGCAGACACGACAAACCAAAGCCAUCGCCUCGAAGCUUGACUAAGUCAGCACCAUCCACUUGCCACAAAAGGAAGAGUCACAGUUAACCCGAGAGCCGGAACCCGGUAAUUUUGGCCCUCCCCGAUGAUCCGCUCUUUAAGAUAUUGACUCACCCAAGACCAGCUCGUGGAGAACUUUCUUAGCUUCCGCCCACAAGAACAAGCAGCAGCGGCAAGGGCCAAGCACUCCAGCCGCAACCAAACAGAGCAUUUAUUAGACACAGAACAGACUAGAAACCAAUCUGCUCGAGCCAAAACGGUCGUAACCUCCGUACUCCUUGCCUUGAAGCCCCGAACCUGCACAGAAUUUGUCACGCACACCACCACUAAGCUCAAGAAAACCUAAGUGAUGCUGGGAUGUGAACGAGGACCAAGCGUCGACGUGAAUCGCUACAACGCCUGAAGUCGUCGAGAACCGACGAACUAAAACCCGUGCUGCUAGAAUCCGUCUCCUGCGACAGCAAAGACAGUAUGAAGAACCAGGGCCUAAUCCUCACCGAAGACCGUCGCCUUCAGAGGACAAACAAACCAGGGAUCGAGUAGAGAAGAUCUGAAGUGAAGCGGCUUUGCAAGAGGCCACUCAGGAGGCACAGACAACCGCCCUUUGAACCUAGCACAAGACCUACACGAGCCGGAACAGAGCUCGAGGACCAACCCACCUGCGAACUCGAGCUACAAGACUCGCCACCGUGAUAAUGAGAUCCACCGGCGCACACUUAGACUAAGGAAAGGAGAGACCAGCGCUCGACGACACCGACGAGAACCAAGAAACACCAACCCGAGCCGAAUGACAUCCUAGACCAGAGGCGGAGAACCACCGACGAGCAGGAAGAAUCAAACCGUCUCUUCUCCUCUCGAACAGAGAGAAACCGGACUAGAUCUGAGGAGAAAAAGAUCUAUGUCCUGAACCCAAGAGCCGACUGCAACAACCAACCACCGUUCAGCCUCCUCACCAAGGAUCCAGAGAAAGCAGAUAAGCCGUCGGAGUUGCAUCUCCUCUGCAGCGGAGCGCCCUCCGAGACCAAACCCUAACCCAGAACUUUGUGCAUAUCGAAGGGGAACGAGAGAGACGGAGCGGCAGCAAAACGAGAAUGAUAAAACGAGAAACAGAGGACCUCCGGCGCCGGCACGCGCGCGGACGCGCCACCACACGCCGGGGGAAAAUCAAAGCACCGUAAGAGAGAGAGACUGUUGUUCGUGAGAGAAAUUGAGGGAGGAGAGAGACUGACCAGUUUCAAUAACUUCACAGACUACAACGACUCUUUGGCAACUUACGGUAAAGAAAAAAAAGUCAGUCAUAAUACUGCUAAUGUAUAUAUCAUAUAUAUUUACGUCUAUUUAAUAGUUCAAAAACUAAAACGAGGAUAAAUGAAAACCAUCAACAGCAGGGGCGAAGCUAGGUUGAUGACUAAGGGUGCACGUGCACCCAGUCUAUUUAAAAUAUUUAACUUUUCACCUUGUACAAAUACAAGGCAAGUGGCUAAUUUGGCAAUGAUGCACCCAUAGUUUCCAAUGAACCAGAGUUCAAUACCCCCUACACUACAUUUAUUUGUUAUUUUGCACCCAGUCGUAAUAAAUCCUAGCUUCGCCCCUGAUCAACAGUUCUAUUUAUACGUAAUCACAAAUAUUUUAACGCCAAGCAUUCAAAAUAGUGCAUAUAAUUUCCUUUAAAACCCAUAAAGAUUAAGUUACAAAAACAGUAAGACAAUUAUUUGGUAGUCACACAAACUAUUUUAAAAUUAUUUCUACAGGUCUUUGUUUUCCUAAAAUCUGGUUUCUACGACAAUUUACAAAUUACUAAAAAACACACAUAUAACUACCAAGAUAAGAAUAGUAUACAAUAUUUCAAAAUAUACCAAACUUCGACUAUUCACCUGCUAAAGGAUCAGUCAUAAACAAAAGAUAACAUACAAAUUUACAACUACUCUUUACCGCACCAAAAACGUAUGAAAUAACAAAUAUUCACAUGCAAAACACCACUUCAAAGGACACCAUCUUCGCAUCCAUGAUAAAUCACACUUCCAUCAACGAUCUCCGCGCAAGCGCGGAGGAUACGCACCUGCGAGGGAUACGCACCUAGUGAUUAAAAUGGUACGGUUUUAAAAUUGUACUAGAUUAUGACCCGCCCUUAAAAGGGUGGGUAUAUUUUUUGUUUUGCAAUUUUUUAGAAAUUUAAUUUUUAUAUUUGUAGUUUUAGUCAUAUUUAUGUUUUUUUUGUAAAAUGUUUCUCUUAAAUGAUUAAUAUGAAAUUUUAAUAAUUGUAUUAAUAUAGUUGGACUGCUCCUAUAUCAAUAGGUUACUAGGUGAUUUCCCGUGCUUAUGCACGGAUAUAAAUAUUUCUAAAGUAAAUAUACUAUAAUAAAUGAUUGUUAUUUAUUUUUUUAUUUUAUAAUUUAUAUGCAUCAUUUAUAUUAAUAAUAUUAUAUUACUUUAAUUAUACUUAUGAUUCUAUAUAUGUUAUAUGUAAUCAAUUUUUGUUGUUUUUUAUAGUCGAUUUAGGGAACGACUCGUUUUCCCGCUACCACCCGCAAACGCAUCUUUUGCGGUUGGUAGCGGUUGUCGGCGGUUUGUAACAAUCACUCAAAUCGUUCUAAACCGCUUCAAACCGCUCAGAAUCUCAUAAAUUCAAAAGCUGGCUCCAGCUAGCGUUUGCGGUUGCGGACGGUUGCGGGAGGGUAAAAUUUUUUUUCUUUUUUUUAAAACAAUAUAUAUACAAAAGUAAAAUUAUUUAAUAAAAUUUUAAAAUUGAAAUUAUGAAAAUAUUAAAAUAUAUCUAUUAUAUUUUAAUUAAUAUUAUAAAAUUUUAUAAUAAAAACAAUUUCAAUAAAUUUUGAAAAAUUGAAAUUAUAACUUUCUAAAUAUAAAUUUUAUAUUUAUUAUAGUUUUAUGAUUUUUGAUAUUUUUAUAAUUAUAUUAAAUGUAAAUAUUGUUAAUUUAUUAUUUGAUUGUUACCGCAUUUGGUAGUUAACCAAUCAUAAGUCACCCGCAAACGCACCAAUUUUUAACCGCAGUACCAGUCGUACAAAUCUCUUAAAACCUCUAGAAACCGCAACCGUCCGCAUCCACAAACUUCCGCAACCGCAACCGCAACUGCUGCGUUUGAACCAGUCAGGCCCUUAGUUGUCAUUUGGGUAAAUUGGAUUGCAUCUCUGAAUUCAACUGUAAUAUCUUUUAUUCUAAAUAUAUUAAAUUUUGAUUAAUUUCUUAUUUUCAUUUAGGUGAUUUUUGUCUUAGAUAUGUAAAUAUAUUUUAUGAAGAUUAUGUAUAACUUAAGAUAUAUUGUGAUUGUAAUAAAUUAAAAAAUUAAUUAAAGUGUGUGAUUCCAAAGUACAUAAAUUAAUGUAUCGAUAAUAUUCUGAAGUCUCAUGCAUAUAUAUAAAAUUUUCAAAAGAACUAAAUUGUAACCGUUGGUUAUUAUUUUAUUUUUAUUUUUAAUAUGUUUAGAGUUGUCUUUUGAUUUAUAUUUAUAUAAGAAAUUACUAUUCUUAUAAAAUUAUAUAUUCGAUCGUAGUUAAAUUUUUGAUUUUAGAUAUAAUUUGGAUUAGUCGAGUCACUCAUGUUCUGAGUAUAUUUACUUACAUAUAUUCUUUCAAAUUCAAAAUGAAGUAUAAUUAUUUUUUAAUAUAAUUAAGUCAAAUCAAAUCAAUUUUAUUUAUCAUUUUAAUGUUCAUGUAUUUUCAUAAUAUUUUUCAAAUUAUAUGUAGAUGUUUUUAAAAAAAAAGAUAUUAGAAAAUAAAGCGAUGAUCAAUAGGAAGUUACAUGCCUAAGUAGCUGAUACAUUUUUGGAAGCUAAUGAACACUUAUCAAUAUCUACAAUAAUUAAAUAUUUUAUAAAUUCUAAAUAACUUUAUGCCUUUGAUUUAUUGAAUGAAAACUGAAAUUUAAUUUAAAUAAUCUUGAAAAUGAGAAUUCAGAUUUGCUUUGGUAUUUUGAUUAUGAUUAUAUUAAUUCCACAAUCAUAAAAGAUAAAAUUUAAAAGCAAAUCUAAUAUUAAGAAAGCAAAUAAAUUAAAUAAUAAUAAAAUAUAAUAUAUCUACCUCAUUAUACUAUUUUAUAACUAUUUGAUCAAACAUUGUUUAUUUUUAAAAUUUAUUUUUAGCUUUUUAAUAUCUCUUAAAAAUAAGCAGUCAAAAAAUUGUGAUUGUAUUUGAAAAUAGUACUAUAUAAAUAAAAUAAAAUUUAUCAAUAUUUUUUUGCUGUAAUUGAAAGAUAUUGUAGUCAAUUAAAUAUAUAAAAACUAAAUCAAACAUUUUAAUAAUAUUAAUUAUAAACUAUUUUUAGUCAAUUAUAAAUAAAUCAAUUUAUGUAAUCAUCUAAGAAAAUAGAUAGAUAUAUAAAAGUAUUUCUAUUACUUUGAAUUUUUUUUAUUGUUUAUAAUUAUGCUUUAAAAGAAAUAAUAUUUCUUUUUCUAAUAUCAAGAUUAUUUGUGUAAAUGGUUACUAUUUAAUGAAAUCACAUUAUAUACUAAUUUAUAUUUUUCAUCUAAGAAAAUAUAGAUGUAAAGAAAGUAUUUUAAUACUUCAAAAGUAUAUUUUAUUUUAUUUAAAAUAAUUUUUAAUUUUAAUAUUACUAUUUUGUGAACUUUCUUUUUUAUGAAAUCAUAUUAUAUAUAAAUAUAUUUUUCAAUUUUUUUUUAAUUUAUAAAACAAUUCGUUUUUUAUUAUAUGUUGAUUUUUUUUUUGAAAAUUUUAAAAAGGAAACUAAAUAAAAAUAAAUAACUGUAUUUGAAAUAUAAUAUUUUAAUUCAUUAAGGAUAUCAAUGUAAUCAACUAUCGUGGGAGUUAACGUAAGAGCGACACAUAGGAAAUUGACUUCUCAAAUAAUAUUAUAGAGAUGUUCCUGUUUUAAUAGAAUAGAUGUCAAGUAACUCUUUAUCAAAACAUAUAUACACUUCGUUGUUUGAUACAUGAAGACGUAAUAGGCUAAUAGCUAAUGAAUUUUAUAUAGAAACAAUAUCGACUUGACUAUCUUAAAUAAUAAAUGUAAUCCCACCCGCUCUAAUAUUGAACAGUUAUAUUAUUGGUGAACUGCAUAUUGAUAACAAACGGUUACAUUAGGGUAGUAGUCGAUAAAUCUAUACUAUAUUAAAAAGGUUAUAUGAGCAUCAGAGAGGAUGUCCACGUCAGCUUCAAAAAUCGACCAAUAGGAGUGCUGCUUUACGCCACAUCACAGACGAAACUGGACUUUUAUUUUUAAUCCGUAAAACACAUAUCAUGAUGGGCUUUAUUCGUUUGUUGUAUGUUUAGGCUGUGCGUUUGUUCAUGUAUCAGGGCCGGAAAGAUAGUGUUCACCCUCUAAACCUAAUUCCGCUCAAACAGAAGAUCACGGGUCGUCUCUUUCUCUUGCUGCGACUGUAGACGUCUGAGCUUCCUUUCUCCAUCUGAAACGGCCCGAUUUGUGAUUCAGUGAUUAAUCAUAUUAAUUGCAUCACCCACUAUAAGGUCUUCAAUGCGUUGUUCAUCUCCAAGUCGGUGUGAAAUCUGUAUAAAUAUGUGAGUAUUUCUCAUUUCUGACUCAUUCUCUCUUCUUAUCUCUUGCAACAUACCGAUUCGAGUUGUUAUGGCUAAUUUGAGAGUUUUCUUCUCCGAUCCGAAGUCCGACAGGUGCUCCUCCGUCGUCGAGGCUAGGCUGCUGCGGUUCUGGGAGAGGAGAGAGAUGAAAAGGCCGGUGAUUGAUUCCCUUAUGGUCAUAAAAGAUGCGCUAGGGUCAUUCUGAAAUCUGGUAAGAUUCACUGUCUUUCUUAUGAUUAUGAGCUAGAGUAGUUUAAAAGAUCGGGUAUUAAGGUUCGAAAUAAGUGUUUGAAUGUAGAGCUCAUAUCUUGAGUAUUGAUUUGUGAUCAUGUGAUCUCUAUUCUACAGUGACCACAUAAACAUGAUUCGUUUCUUUGUCGCACCAACUCAUGUGCUUUGUUCCUUACAUUGAUGGGCUUAGUCCUUGACUUUAAUUAUCUCACCUUGAAUCUUUUCCUCUGCUAUGCCUAAUGGUUUUUUUGGGUUGUUUCACCUUGAGUCUUUUCCUCUUGCAUUGCUUUCCAUGAUGAAGAGUGGGGAGUUCCUGUCCAUGACAACAAGUACGUGAUGAUAUCUCUUUUACUGUUUAUUUUUGCUCAGUCUGGGAGAUGCUAUUUGUGUAUUAUAAAUGCUCUUAUUUGUCAAACUGCUUGCAUGAAAAUUUCCAAGUUAUUAAGCCUCUCUGGUGUUCUUUCCGAACUAUCCUGGAAAUAUAUUCUUUUCAAAAGACAAUCAUUCAGGUAAUUAUGACCAAUGCGUUUUUUGUAACAUGAUCUUCUUAUGAGCCAAGUUUUAAAGUGCAUUAUCUUUGUUUUAACAGGGAAAUUUUCAUGGAAUUUGAUUCCUUUCCUACAUCUUCACAAAAAAAAGAGAACAUCCCCUGAGUUGCAACCACUCCAUUACUAUCCAUGAUCCAAGGCUUAAUGGUUUGCUUUCUUUUUUUUUUCCCAUUACAGUAAUUAUCUGGUUACUAUACGAACUUUGUCACUACAUUCUAAAAGCUUUGGUAAACAGCAUAGUUUUUAAAUAUAUAUAAGUGAUUAUGCCUUAAGUAACUGUGCAACCUUUCUUAAGAUCUCAGUGGAUUGACUGUACAUGUAUUGCUUUUUUUGUUCGUGUAGGAAAAAUAACACUCCGCCAGACUUGAAAACGGUUUCAGUCAACCAGGUUAAAGUACUUGACUGCUUGUGAUAGACUUAUCAAGUUAAGAAUUAAUCUGGUACAGCCAUUUGAACGUAUUUAACACAAGUAUCGUGUGCAUGUAAUCUUUGUGCAAUCAAUUUGCUUCGUUGGCUGUUAGUAGAACUCAGACAUGCUUCACUCACAGCUACUUGGGAUGUUUAUUGAUCAGAAUUCUCUCUUUACAGGUUAAACACAGGUAUAGAGUUGCACAUUCCCAUCUUUGGCUUCCCAUAUGAGAAGAAAUUUGGGAACAUCGUCUGGAAAUCAUAGAAUUCUUUCUUUACCUUCACCUAAAACAAACAGAGAUGAUAGGAGUGUUCAGAAAAAUAUCCAGAUUAAUACAGAGUUAGCCAGAAGACUAUGAACGCACAUGAGGCAGAAGCAGCUGCAAAACAGGCAGUUUCACAGGUAGAAGCUGCCAUGACAGCGGCUGAAGAAGCUGCAAAGGAAGCAGAUGCAGCAGAAGCUGCUCAAGCUUAUGCCUAAGAAGCUUCAAAGACAUUGAAAGGAAAAAAACAUCUGCAAAGUGGUAAACACACUUUUCUUAUAUCACACAACACAUGAUAAAGAGAAUACUUUAUCAUGGUCGUAUUGAAAAUUUGAUUAAACAGAUGGUUUGUAAGUGAGGUGACAUAGAAGAAGAAGCUAAAUGUGUUGCAGGUGACGAGAGAGUGAUGCACAAAAGUAGUGUGUAUGUGUUGAUGAAUUUCGACUUAGAACAUUUUUUGUUGUAAAGAAGAAGCUAAAUGUGUUGCAGGUGACGAGAGAGUGAUGCACAAAAGUAGUGUGUAUGUGUUGAUGACUUUCGACUUAGAACUUUUUUUUGUUGUAAAGCAGUAAUUUUAGAUUCACAGCCAUUUUAUUAUUGCUCACAUUUACUUUACGGCCAAAAUAAGUUAUAAAAACUGAAAACAUCGAGAAAUAAGUUACUAUCUACCAAUUUAUUAUAAUCUAAAUUUUCUUAUAUGGUUGAGAGUCUUGGAGUAUUGAACAUGUUAUUCCAAGGAGGAAUAUACCAGCAGAUGCUAUCGCACAAAGUGUCACGUGCGUUUCAGUCACAAUAUCAUUCAAAAUUGUCAUUAAUAUAUUGGAAACUAGAACUGAGCCUACCAUUUUUAUUGUUUACUAGAUUGUCCAGUUCAAAAUUUGAAAACUAUAUUAAUAAAUUAGGAGAAAAGCAUUUUACAUUAAAUAGGAUAAGAAUAUUAGGCCGUAAGAAAAAAAAAAAAAUAUAUAUAUAUAUAUAUAUAUGUAUAUUUGUUAGAUUGUAGAAUAUUCUUAAUGGAAAUAAAAAUAUGAAAAUAAUGUUUUUGGAUCAUAAUGUUGGACUGAAUAUAUUCAAAACAACUUAACAGAUGCAUUAAUACUUAAUACUGUAAUCAAAAAAUAAAAAGUCAAAGUUUAAGUUAGAAAGUAUAUAAAAUGGUAUAUUUAAUAGAAAUGUAAUACCAUGAUUGGUACUUAGAAAAGGUAGCAAUUGCAAAACAAAAUAAUAUUUUUCUUUUUCUGCACAAAAUAAUAUAUAAUAAUAAAAAUUAAUUAAAUUGUGCAUAUAUAUUAAGAAUAUUUUGAUUCUCUUUUUACACUUAGAUUUAAUCUUUUUUUUUGAAACCAAACUUAGCUUUAAUCAAGAAUUAUAUUUAACUAUAAUUAGAUUUUAAUAUAUUGUUUUAUGUUUAUAGUUUAACAUAUAAUAUGGUUAUAAACUUACUCAGACAAGUAAACUAAUAUAUUAAUUUCAAAUAUUUAGUUUUAUUAUCUAUUAAAUCGCUCUUUUCAAUUCACAAAAAAAUAGUGACAGACAAGUAAAUAUACAAUCUAUAUAUUUACAUCAUAUUCCAUUUGGGUGAGAGGUUUGUAUUCCUAUAGAAGGAUACCGCUUUUUUUUUUUUUUUUUUGUCGUCAACUUUACAGACUCAUAUAGACUCUGUAAACCAAGCCGGAAGAUAUUGAUCCAUGUGAACGACGAAAGACGGCUGAAUCCUAACACUGCGUGCUAGGCUAUCCGCCUUUGUAUUCUGCGCUCUUGGUACAUGGACGAUCUCUGAUUGUAGGAAACUUGCUCUCAGACUUUUGAUGUCUUCCAAAUAACUUGCAAACGCUGGCCACUCUUCUGGUUCCGAAACCAUCUUCACCAAUUGAGAACAAUCCGUUGCAAACGUAACCUGAGAUUGACGUAAAUUCCUCAUACAUUCCAUAGCCCAUAGUAGUGCUUCCAUCUCCGCAUGUAGAGGAGAAAGGCUAGCCCGAACAUUCCUCGCCCCCAGCAACCCAGCGAAGCCUUCUAAAGUGCUGUGCCAACCCUGGCCGGAGAAAGUAUCUUUCUCUUUCCAGGAACCAUCUGUGAAACACCAUCGUCCUGGAUUUAACAGUGAAGACCUAAUCUCUUCCUGUGGGACCAUUCUCUGUUCAUUCACUAGUUGGGCUUCAGCCCAAAGGGUUGAUUCUGUUUCCGCCAAUUUGAGCGUAUCCCUAGGAUCAAUAUCCAGAUUACUAAAAACCUUACUAUUCCUUCCUUUCCAGAUAUACCAUAGUAUCCAUGCGAACUGAUGAUCAUCUAACUGCGGAAAGACUCUCCAGAAAAGAUGAUCCAUAUUUGCAAAAAGGGAUUGUGUGGGAAAUGUAGUUGGAUUUGAUGGUAUCUUUGAGAGAGCCCAAACCUGAAGUGCUGGAGGACAUUCGAAAAACACAUGAUUUAUCGAUUCCUCCUCAGCUCCGCAUCUUGUACAACAUAUAUCGCCAGUUAUCCCUCUCGCUUGUAAAUUUUUCUUAACCGCUAUACACCCUGUCACCAACUGCCAGAGAAAAUGUUUAAGCUUUGGUGGACACCUGACUUUCCAGCAGAAUGAUUUCAAACCAUCGACCGUAGGUCCAAAAAAUGCUGGUGGUUUUGCUCUAUCCGGGUAAACUCGUUCUACCUGAUAUCCCGAUUUAACCGUGUAUUUCCCAGUUGUUGUGAAAUGCCAUCCAUCUUUGUCCUCCAACUGAUAUCUACUCAGUCGUAUACUCUCGAUAAUUUUCACAUCCUGUGGAUCCACUAGAGCCUGAAGUGCCUGCGAGUUCCAAAUUCCCAAAGUGGGGUCUAUAAGAGAAGCCACUGUGAGGUCAGGGUAAAGAUUGUGUUGGUUUUUAUUUGCUGGUCUCGGGCGAGUGGUUGGGAGCCAAGGAUCAUUCCAUACAGAGAUAGAAGAUCCUGAUCCCACCCGUUUGAUUAGUCCUUUGCUAACCAGAGAUCUAGCUGAUGUAAUACUCCGCCAUCCAUAUGACGGAGAGUAUGAGCGAAUCGGUUCCAGGGGUGAGGCAUUCCUGAAAUAUCGACCUUUAAAAACUCGAGAAAAUAAAGUAUUUGGCUUCUCGAUCAAUCGCCAAAACUGUUUACCAAGCAUCGCUGUAUUGAAAUCAGUGAUGUCUUUAAAACCCAGUCCUCCUUCCUCCUUGCUAACACAUACUUUAUCCCAAGAUUUCCAAUGCAUACCUCUCGUACUUCCCCCGGGGCUCCACCAAAAUUGGGCUACCGCACCUGUCAGUUUCUUUACGGUUGCCUUAGGCAAUCGAUAGCAAGACAUCACAUGAUUUGGUAAUGCCGUAAUCACCGAUUUAAUAAUCACCUCUUUUCCUCCUUUUGUAAAGAACUUAAAAGUCCAACCAUUAACCCGUUUGUUUAGUCUAUCCUGCACAAAACUAAAAACCUGAACCUUUGAACCCCCAAGAUUUUCUGGUAAUCCUAGAUAAGUUCCCAUUCCUCCAUGAUUCUGAAUGCCCAGGAUGUCUCUCAUUUCCUGUCUGUUGGACUCUUCAAUUUUAUGUCCAAAUUGGAUCGAAGACUUCUCAAAAUUAAUGAGUUGACCUGACACCAUCUCAUAUUCCUUUAAGAUUCUGAGAAUAGUUUGACAUUCCUCUCUCUGGGCUUUGCAAAAGAAAAGACUAUCAUCCGCAAACAGUAGAUGUGAAAUGGAAGGACAUGCUCGAGCUACCUUCAUUCCUGUCAAUUGUUUCCCAUCCUCCGCCUUUUUAAUAUUUGCAAUCAAAGCCUCAGUGCACAAAAUAAAUAAAUAAGGAGAUAACGGAUCUCCUUGCCGUAACCCUCUAUUCGGAAUAAUAAGGCCUCUUGGUUGUCCAUUUAGUAAAACCCGAUAUUGAACCGAUGAUAUGCAUUCCAUCAUUAAUUUAAUCCAAUGAAGAUCAAAACCCAUCUUCUCUAGUAAAGCUUUAAUAAAGUCCCAUUCCACUCUAUCAUACGCUUUGCUCAUAUCCGUUUUAAUUUAUAGAAGGAUACCGCUAAAAAAAUUGAAACAUGUUAAAAUAUUUAAUUUUGUUGAAACAAGUAAUUCUAAACAAUAAAAAAUAUUGCAAUAAAAUAAUAAUAUAGAUUGAAAAAUAUAUCUAAAGCAUUAAUAAAAUUUAUAAGAACAAUAAUUCAGUCUUUAAUAAUUUUAUAAAUAUCAAUCAAUAACAUAUAGUUUUUAAGUCAUAUAAUAUCUUUUUCAAUAUUAUUAGCAUUUGCACUCUAAUAAUUUAAAAUUCAUUUUCUAAUUUAUAUUUUGUAAAAGUCAAUAAAGAUAAAUUGUAUAUAUUCAAAUAGUAUUAUGACAUAUUAAUAAAAACAAGAAAAACAAGAACAUCAAAAUCAUUUGGUACAACAAAUUUAACAAUACAAACUUACUUUCCAAUACAUUUAACAUAUUAUACAAUAUAUGAAAACAAAGUAUUAAAAUUAUUUAUACGUUUAUAGUUAAUAUGAUUCUAUAUGGAUUAAAACUAUUAUAUAUACAUUUUUACGUUUAGUGGUUGAAGAAGUGUUUAUAAUGCUUAUGUUUUAGAUAUAUAUAAUCUAAUUUUCAAACAUAGAGAGCAUAGCCAAUUAUGUUCUUGAAAAACAUCGUCAAUCUCAUGUUCUUGAAUAAAGAAUUCAAUCAAAGAGAACAUAGCCAAUCUUCACCUACUUCUUGAAUUAUGUAAAAGUUUUAGAUCAGUAACCAAACUUAAUUGUUCGAACCUGUCACUUCCGUAAAACAAAACAUAUUAUUUUUCAAACAGAAACAUUUUAUUUUGUUCUAUAACCUCUGAUAGCUUCCAUCAAGAUUAUUUGAGUAUUUCAAAUAGGAAAAAGACUGCAUGAAGUUUUUAGCAAAUGGAGCUGGUGUAUAUAUCAAUUGUAAUAAACAUCAUCGAAUACAAAUGGUGAUGGGGUAGAAUGAUGGUGAGAACUUACCAUAAGAUUAUAUAAGCAAAAAUAUAUUUUUUACAUUUAUACAUUAUAAAAAAAUUAUAUGAUCAUUUAAGUUUAGUUAAAAUAUAUGAAAAAACCCGGGCGUAGCCCGGGAAAAAUCUCUAGUAUAUGGAAAAAGAAGUGUAUAUAUGACAGUAGACAUAUGUUUAGUUAUUAAUAGGACAGUUAUAUUAGGGUUAUAUGAACAGGCGAUUAUAUUAUAAAUUAUAUUAUAAAUUAUCAAUGAAAGUAUGUCAGCCACUAAACACCUCAUAUGUCCACGAUCAAACAAAAAUGCAUCAUAUCUAUACUAUACUAAAAGGGGGAUAUAAGCCAUGGAGAGGGUGUCCACAUAGGAUAGAAAAAUCAACCAAUCAGAGAACCCGAAAUUGCCAUGUCAUCUCAUUUUUUACUAUACUAAAAGGGGGAUAUAAGCCAUGGAGAGGGUGUCCACAUAGGAUAGAAAAAUCAACCAAUCAGAGAACCCGAAAUUGCCAUGUCAUCUCAUUUUUUUCGUAAAAAAUAAAAAAACAAUGCGAAGGUGAGCAUCGAACCCGGGUUAGUAUGAUAUAUAUAUAGGACAGUUACCACUAAGCCAUUGAAACUUUCUUGGACACAUAUACAAGAACCACUAAGUAUAUAAUCACAAACUCUUAUGUACAUUUACAAUAAUAUGAAUUCAACUUUCAAGACUCCGAUACUUUAUUUUGUAAAAAAAAAAUAAGUAAGUGACUAAGCUAAUAUAUUCUUAGAAAGUGUGAGAACGUUGACAAGUAUGAAAAAGCAUAGAUUUUUGUUUUCGUGACAAAGUUAAGAAUUUUGUAAAAGUAAGUUUAACAUAUAAAUUUUCGUGACAAAUAUGAAAAAACAUAGAUUUUUGUAAAAUUUUGACAAAACAACUCAUAACAUACUUCUCUAAUGUCUUAAUAAAAUAUUAUUUAAGGGUGCAAUAAUUAAAUAUAUUAAUUCAAUAAAUUUUGUAAUUUAUAGACAAAACAAUAACACAACAAAUUUUGAAACAUUUGUUUAACCUAUCGAUUUUUUUUCAUGAGAAUCCAACUAAACAAGAUAAAAAAAAUAAUUAGAUUUACAAAUAUUUAAUUACCAUUUUAUUCAAUUUUGAUUAAUUUCAAAUUAUCAUAAUGUAUCUUUUUGAAGUUACAAAUAUGAAAAAGCAUAGAUUUUUGUACAAUUUGACAAAACAACUCAAAACAUAAUUUUUCUAAUGUCUUAAUAAAAUAUUAUUUAAGGAUGCAAUAAUUAAAUAUAUUAAUUCAAUAAAUUUUAUAAUUUAUAGACAAAACAAUACCACAACAAAUUUUGAAACAUUUGUUUAACCAAUCGAUUUUUUUUUCAUGAGAAUCCAACUAAACAAUUAGAUUUACAAAUAUUUAAUUACCAUUUUCUUCAAUUUUGAUUCAUUUUAAAUUGUAAUAAUGUAUCUUUUUGAAGUUACAAAAAAAUAAUGUUCUUUCUUUAUUACACUAGAAUUAUAUAUAGAUUCUAUAUACACAAAAUAAAUAUAAUAUAACAACAUAAAUUUACUUUCCCCGAUUCAUAUGAAAACUUUUUAAGUUAUCCACCAAAGCAAAUUAAUUAAAUCAAUGAAAUUGUUAAAAUACAGCAAAUUAAUAUAUAAUUUUAUUUUAAAUUAAAUUAUUUAAAAAGUGUAUUUUUGUUAAAACAAAAUAAUAAAUAAGUAAAACUGAUUUGAUGGUAAUUUUUAUGAUAUAUAUAUAUAUAUAAAUUCUGUGAAAGAAAUAGAAGCUUAAUAUGGAAAAAAAUCUUAAAUACAAAAACCUCUAAAAAUUAACAAAAAAACUAAUAAAUUAAACUAUGAUAUCACUUAAAAGCUUCUUAGACCAUAUUAAUAAAAUAUUUAAGCGAUAAUUAGACAAAUUUGAUUUUUUUUCCAGCAAAAAAUUUAUUAUUAAUUAGCAUCAGUUAUUUCAAGAUGUUUAAGAAAUGGUGUACAAAAAAAUAGGAUGGACAUUAAUGAUAUAUGAACUAUGAAUAGUACUUUGCGAAGCAGACUUUGAUAACAUAUAUGCAUAUACAUUUUCAGUCCUUUUUGAUGCCUAAAUUCAAUUUCUUCAGAGUAAUUAUUCCACAAAUAGAUCGUAUGAGAUAUUGUUUUGAUAUGUAGAUUUGUUUUUUCAAUGUUAAGAAGAUUGAUAACUGUAAAAAUGUCUCAUUCGUAUAUGAUAUGUCUAUAACCGAGUCUCCAACAUGAGACAAGUUUGUUUAAAAAGUAAAUAAUUUUAUUUUUCUUAUAUUAUAUAAUAAAUAUAUAUUAUUUACUGAUAAUAAAAAUAUAAUUAUUCAUCUAUCACAAAUAUCUAUGCAAAUAUGUGAAUCAAGUACAACAAUCAAGCAACAUAAUGAUUUCCACAAAGAAAAUUUAAAAAAUAUAUUUAUGUUAUGUAGUCAUAUUUUAUAUUUUUUAAAUAAUAUAAUACAAUAUUAUACAUUAUUUUUUAGAAUUGAGAAAUACAUAUAAUAUCUUAUCCGCGCGUAGCGCGGUUAAAAAAUCUAGUUGUAUGUAAUAGGAGAAAACGGUUAAUUAGGAAGAAACGGUUACGUAAAAAUGAUAUAUAUAUAUUUUGUUUAUCUUUAAAUAAAGAAAAUAAAUAAGUGGACAUAACCUUACAUCAAUUGGUCAUGUUGCUGUUUUAAUAGAAUAGAUUUUCGUUUAAAGUACUUUUGAAUUUUUUUCGCUUCAGUUUUUCAAUAACACGUGUGUCUUAUUUACAAAAGGAAACAAUUUCACUGAAAUUAUAUGAUGAUGUAAUUAUUAUUUAGUGUCAAAAAAAUAGCUGAAAAGAUAUAUACUAAAAUUUUAGAUAAGUUAAAAAUAUCAAUAACGACAAAAUUGUGUUCCUCUCCUUAAAUCGCUCUGGUGUUCCUAUAAGUAGUUCAGAUUCUUUGUCAACACAAUUCAAUCUAGCAAAAAUUUAUCUAAAAACAAAAAUCCUAAUCAAUAGUACAAUAAUCAUUUAAAUAUUAAUAGAGAGUAGAAGAAAAAAUCGUGCAAACUAAAAUGGAAAAAGUAAAUUUCUUUGCAAUAAUCUUUAUGGUGUUGUUGGUCGUGACAAGGGUUUCUGCGGAAGAGCCACCGGUGAAAGUGACGGCCAAUGAGGUGACUCUUGCGGCGGAGGCGGCAGCAUCGAGUUUCAAAAGCAGCGCCGGAGAGGCUGCUCAAGGGGCCAGAACAUGGGCCGAUUGGGCUACGAGCAAAUUCAGGUAACAUUCGUCUUAUUUCCUUUUUCUGUUAUUCUUUAACGUUAAAAAUUUUGGGAGAAAAACCAAUUAUCAAUUAAGUUUUUGGUAGUAUUAUCUUCAGACGUUGUUAAAUUACAAUCUUUCCGACUUCGUUUAUGAUUUCAAAAUUCGUCUCGUUAACACAAAGAUUUAAAGAACAUGGGUCAAUCAGUGCACCAUUCGUUACCAUUUAGCGUUUAUCAUUAACCAUAUUUAUCUUCUGUUUUUGUAAGGAAUGCUGGCGUAAAUUUUGAAAAAGCACCCGAUUCAGAGUGAAACGUAUGGAAGUCUCAAGUAAACAUCUACCUUUAAGAAUAUGCAUAAAUGUUUAUCAAGAAAAAUAUGUAAAUUGAGCAAGCAACAAUAUAGUUGCAUUCUCUUGUAUCUUAUUGUAUAAGAAAACUUUCCAUUAAAGCUAACACGUAAUUAUCAAUAAAAUUUGAUAAUAUUAUGUAAAACCAAUACAAAACUUAAAACUCAUGGUUUGAUUCAUAGAUGUAGUUUAUGUUUCUAGAGAACACUAAGACUCAUGGACCUCUCUGACUUGACACGGAAGACAUGUUUAUUGCAAAAAAAAGAGAGACCAAAUCCUUUCUCCUCAGGUGAACAAUAUGUCCAAAGUUUCUUCUUCUUCUAAAUGCCAGCAACUUAUAAAUAUGGAAUACCCAAAAAAGCACAGGGAGACAAACUUAGAAAUCAAUAAGAUAAUUAUAACUACCAUUUGACCCAUCAGUCUAUGGAUAGAACAAGAUCCAUAUGCCACAUCACUUUCUUCCGCGGGUUAGCCUCUGCAAAUGGUAAUUGAUGUUUCCCCACGACUUGGACUUCUCCGCCUACAAAGCAAAAGAGUUUCAAGUAAACAAAAAGUUCACCGGCAAAGGCAGAAGAAGACAAAAGUAAACACGCAAAAAAAAGUUAUUUACAUGUCCGUUCAUACAAACGCUCAGGAGGUUCUUCUGUUUCUCGCAGUUAUCAUCUUUGCAUUUGUUGAGAGCCAUGCAGUUGAGGAACGUCACCAUCUCCUUCAUACAUGGUUUCGCUAUACCACCGAGCUUUUUCGGGUUUAUGUACAAAUUUCCAGCCUUUCUCCCCAUGGCUCACUCAAGUAUAAAGAAACACCAACUGAGGAACCACAAGCCAGAAAAAAAAAAACAGGAAUCAAUACUAACUCACAAACAUUCCGACAAACCUUCCUUCAACUGAACUUAUCCUAAAAUACUCACUUUUUUAUACCACUGAGAAAAGUUCUAAUCACAUUUAUGAGAUUAAGAACAUUGUAAGCAUCUAAAUUACAUAAAUGAAUAAUACUGUAUCGCCCUUGUGAUUCAACCAAUGCAGAUUUAAUAUACAAACCCAAGGACCCUAAGCUAGAAAUCAAAUAAAAAUAACUUGGAUUCGAGUAGCAUCUAGAAACGGUGUCAGAUCCGAGAGGUAGAACGAAACCAAAAAUCGAAAGCAGCAGGGCAUGAAAUUAGAUUGAAUCGACGACACAUUUUGAGAGAGGAUUGGAGCCGAAACAACUUACAGUGUUGGUAGAAGCGGAAUAAAGGAUUGAUUUCUGAGGGAUACGCUGGAGAAAUGGCGAAGGAUCGCAGGUGAGGAAAAGAUGCUGAGAAAGAAAAAAAAAAGUAGAAAACCCUAUGGUUAUUUCAGGUAGCCCAUGGACUCUUUCCCACCAUGACCCGGCCCAGUGAUGACUUUACCCAUUGAAUAGCGGAUACUUGAACCGAACCAAAAUUUAAUUUAUUUGGUAAAGCAGUUAUCUUGUGGAUCGUGCCGCUGUCUAUGUCCAUUUGUUUCUACUUUAUAGGGGUGGGCGUUCGGGUACCCGUUCGGGUUCGGAUCGGGUAUUUCGGAUUUUCGGGUAUUUCGGUAUAGAGGUGUAGAACCCGUUCGGGUAUUUCUGUACUUCGGGUCGGGUUCGAGUAUUUUAAGUUCGGUUUCGGUUAUUUCGGAUCGGGUUCGGAUAUUUAGAUUUUGAAGAAAAAAAAAUGAAAAUUUUCAUUUCUCAAAUUUCUUGUAUUUAAAUAUAUAAUUUUUCACUUAACUAUUUUUUUAUUUUUAAUAGAUUGCAUGGUUAAUAGAUUUGGACAUAACAUUUUCAAACUAAAAAGACAUUAAUUUGGUUAUUGUUUUUAAAUUUUGGAUGUAACUUUUUGUUAAUUGCUGAAAUAAAUAGUUUGACAUGCAUUUUAAGCGAAUAGCAAAUCAUCUUCUACGUAAUUGUAUGUAUAUCAUAUGAAUUUAAAGUAUGUGUAGUAUCAAUAUAAAUAUUUUAUAUAAAAUGAAAGAUGUAAACUAUAAAUAUAAGGUUAAUUAUCAUAUGUUCGGUUAUUUUCGGAUAUCCAUUCGGGUUCGGAUAUUACCCGUUCGGGUUCGGAUAUCCAAUCUCUCCUAAUUCAAUACCCGUUCGGAUAUUUUGCUACUUCGGUUCGGAUUUCGGUUCGGGUUUUUCGGAUCGGGUUCGGGUGCCACUUCGGAUUUCGGGUAAAAUGCCUACUACUUUAUGUUUUUUUUCUUUUUUUUCCGUAAACUCAUUCUCUAAACAUUAUUUAAAUUUUGAUUUACAUAUGUCAUGGUUCAUUUUAACAAAAAUUGACAAGGCUUCAAUUUAACUGGUACACGUAUAAUUCUAUUUUUUAAUAAAAUUUAUAUUUUUGACAAAAAAGUUUUAAAUAUGAUAAUGAGUUUGACUGAUAUAUCACCAUUAAAGUAUCAUUUCUUAACAAAUAAUUAUUUUUGACAAAAAAAUUAAAUAUAUUAAUAAAUAAUAAUUCAUAUAUCUUCAUUGAAACUAUAUAUAUCACAUUAAUUACAAACAAACUAAUUAUAAAUAUAAUUUUGAGUAACUUUUUUUUAAAGAAGAGUUUAUACUCUAAGAUUUUUUUCAAGAGAUAAUUGGGUCAAUAUACUCCAAUCGCUAGAAAAUUAAAAAAGUACCCAAAAACAAAAAGAACUUGUUGGGCCCGUACCUUUUUGCGUCCCCCUUUCCAAAAAUGCCCUUAUCGCCUCGAGACGUGCGGCGAGUAGGUGAAAAGUUGCGAGUCAGCGUGAUCUUCAGAAGUGCAAACAAAAGAUACUAUUCUGAUAUAGCUUUCCGGCUGACAUCUUUUCGAGCGACCGGUUUCUUUAGGUUACUCUGUCAAGUACAAACGGAUCGAAACAAAAGCCCCUGGAAACAUCUGUGGAUCGUAAAAAUGGGGGGGGGGGGGAAUUACAGGUUAUCCGAAUUUUUUUUGGGAUUUUGGUAGUGUAUUUAAUGGAGGUCUGGGAAAACAUAAAUGUAAAGCAUAAUCGAUAGAGAGAGAAAGAAACAUGUUAGAGUGAGAUUGCUCUAGUGGCGAAGAUCCUUUUACAGUAGUCGUUAUCCCUUUGUGUUCGAGGUAUGUCUCUAAUAUUUUUUAGAUUUUACUUUCUGCAUUAAAUUUCUUAACUGCAAACAAGUUUGAUACUACGAAAUAGGUGUUUUGGUCCAUUGACAUUUAUUUUGACUGUCAUAACUAUCACAGUAUUUUAAUUCCAGUGACAAGCAUCUCAAAUGUCACAUUCCCCACGGAUAUUUCAGAAAAAAUUUCCUACUUGCGUAUCAUCUCCACAUGCUCAGGGAUAAUCCGAGGAAAGUGUGAUGUCGGGAUUAAAACACAAGAGGUAAAAGUCAGACACACAUACUUCAAACGCAUCUCUCUGUCUUUUAUUUUCUUCUUCUGUAGCAUUUCGAUGGUCGUGUCGACUAAGCAGAACUUGAGAGAUCCAAUUAGUUCCCUCCAGUCAAGCUUUUCCUUAAUGGGGUGCUUCUUCCGUUUGCAGUUUAUCUUCGGAAUCUUGCUGCAAUUGAGGCUGGUGACUUGUGCGAACUCGUGCAUUGACAUCCUGAGCGGCUUUCAGAGAAGAGAAACCAAGUCUUGUACUUUUUUCACGUGGAGGAUUCGGACAAUCACGAACUGGCCGAACCUUCCUGAAAAUGAAGGAUUAUCUGCUAGUGAAAUGAUCUUCCCAAACAUCGUCUGCUGCAGGAAGUGAACCUCUUCUGGCUCGAGCGCAUCUAAUAUAGAUUCAAUUCUCUUCAGUUUGUGGUAAGUGUUUACUCUAUCUCCGGAUGGUUCUUCACCAGCUACAAACAUCCGUUCAUGCAGUAUUGCUUGCUCCAUAGUGUCGCUCGGAGAUAAAGAAAGCGUCUUGUUUCUCUAAAGAAAUAAAAGUAGGUCUGGAGAAAUGAAGAUGCAAAAAUUGGAAAAGAGUGCUAUUUCAAAAGGAUCCCUUACACGUAAAUGUAAAAGCUGACUUUUCAUUUACCCUUUUCGUCAUUAAAGUAAAAAUAUUAGAAAUAAUCUAGAGAAGCCUCGAAACCUUAAGUGACAUGCCGUGUAAUAGUGUGUUCUACUAAUAGGGUCUGACACCAAGGCGGUGAAGACUAAAAGAUAAGCGUGUUAGGAUGUAGGGGCGAAAUGGUAUUAAAAUAAAAUAGAUCAAUAGGGUGGCAUUUGGCAAAUUUCGAAUAUUUCCGUAUACAUACAUCAUAAUUUCUCUUUUUCAAACGGGUUCUCAUUUCUAAGAGGAAAAGAAAAGGAUUAUUUUUAUGAUGUACUAGAUAUAUAUAUAUAGAUAUGGUUCUGUAAGUUGCACAUCUGUUAUUUGUUAUAUUAGUUUUAAAAAUUACUAUCAAAUAGAUUUUAAAAUUUUAUUUUUAUUAGGAUUUUAUAAAAUAAAAAUAUUAAAAAAAUCUUUUUGUUUAGGAUUUAAAAAAAUGGAAAAUUACUAUCAAAUUUUCUUUUACAGUUUUUAAGGGAUUUUAGAAAAGUAAAUUACUAUCACAUAAUCUUUUGCAAUUAUAUUUUUUUAGAAUUUUAGAAAAAAAAUUACUAUCAAAUACUUAUUUCCAAUUAAUAUUAAAUAAUUUUACAAUUUUACAAUUUGAUAAUUUAUUUUUGUUAAUAUCAAGAUUAUUUUAGGCUAUACUUUUAAAAAAAAAUAUCAUUUCUCUUUUAGUUAGGAUUUAAAAGGGAAAAUUUCUAAUUUUUUUAAGAUUUUAAAGCAGAAAAUUAUUAUCAUAUAAUUGUAUGUUAUUAUUGUCACAUGUAACAAUUUUUUAUUAAUAUAUCUCACGAUCAUGUUAAUUAAAAAGCUUAGAAAAACAAAAUUUUGAUUAUCCUCGAUAAAAGAAAAUCCGUGAGAUCUAAGAGGCUAAAUUUUUUUUUUUUUUUUUUUUCUAAGAGGCUAAAUUACAUAAGACUAAUCUGAGACACACGUAAUAGAAUGUUGACUGAAGAAUGAUCUUGACUUGGGAUCAUAGAAAAUUAAACAGAGGCUAAAUUACUUAUUUUCACAUACGUAAACAACUUUCAAACUUUACGUUUCAAAUUUACACUACGUCAUUACCUAUGGUUUGAUCUGAAACAAAUUCAAACUAUUAAAAAAAAAAAUAGGAAGCCGAAAGAGAAAGAAAAAGAUAACAAUUAGAAUUCUUCCAGAGGAGACCGGAGAAAAACUAGAAGCCUAUUGAAAGACGAUAAAAGAAUCGGGUUGUGUGAAAUUAAAUUGACAUUAUGCCCUAUCACCAUUUACGAUCAAUCGAAAUUCAAUAGUUCUUAUCCAAGCCGUAUUUAAUGAUAUACUCCUUUCAUUCCAUGAAUAUAAUAGUUUUGAGAUUUUUAUUUGUUUCACAAAUAUAAUACUCUCUGUGUUCCUAAAAAUUAAUGUUUUCGAAUUUUCAUACUUUUUAAUGUAUUGUUUUUUGUAAUUUUAUAUUUUUUAUAUUUUUAAAUCAAUAAAUUUAAAAAAUGCAAUUGAUGUUUUUGAAUUUCACAAUUUUCAUUAUUAAUUAACAAAAAUUACAUUGUAAAUAUAAAUAUGUAUUUUUUUGAAAUAAUUUUUUUUCUAGAAUAUAAAUUUUUAGGAACGGAAUGAGUAGUUUAAUGUGUGUUUAAUAUAAUUCAAUAGCUUCGCCUUCCACACACCUUACAACAUGUUUUGUUGUUCUUCAGUCUACAUUUGGUCCAUUGGAUGUAUAUUUUUUUAAAUGUUCUUAAUACUAUUUCCUUGUUACAAACAUAUGAUGAUUCAUCUUUUCAUUGAUUCUAUCAUGUCUUUUUGGACACGAUCUUCCCAUCCUCAAAUCAUAAUUUCUUUAUUUUGAAUUUCCAUAGCUAACACGUGAGAUAUAUAUAUGCUUUACUUGUUUGAGAAGAAAUCAAUAAAAGGUUGAUGUCUAAGAUAAGCAUACUAUGCAUACAGUGGUGCUAGAAUGUUCGAGCCACAAUCCCAUUUUGAGAAGAGUAACCAGAUUUUCUCUCUAGGUACCAAAUACCAAUAAACAUAGAUAGAUUUGAAAAAAAUAAGAAGCAAUUAACAUAAUAUUUUUUUUGUCGGCACAAUGGCAUUAUCAUCUUCACGUAUAUAACAAUCCAAACUAUUCUUUAAAUGUGCCUCUGUAGAAAAUUGAACUUAUUUCAGACCGAAGAAUUCAGCUUUGUCCACUUCCGGAAAAUUGUCAUAAGUAAGAGAGAUGAGGAUUGGCUAAAUAACCCACAUAUCAAACCAAUCCACAAACCCUGUUUUCACCAAAAUAAUAGCUCCAAAAUAAACACAAAACCAUAAAUUUUUCUUUAUCAUCAAUCAAUUCAUAAGAGAGUAAUGCAGUUACCUUGGCAUAUAACUUCAACUUGAAACCACAGAAGGCUGCAAUAGGCAUUCCAAUGAAGUAGAAUGUUCCUAGAUUUACAACCGUGACUACCCUUUGCCAUCCGCAUCCUCUGGCCACUCCUGUAAGCAAUAAAAAGGGAGGUUUCUUUUUGCCUUCGAUUCAUCGAGAAAGAAAGAGGCUUUCUUGGAUCUUUUAUUGGGCCCUCUUUUAUUACCUGAUAGAACACCUUGGAUCGAAUCAAGAGUUAUAGAGGCAGCAAGGAAGAAUCUCAAUGAUGCAAACUCAUCUUUAAUUAAAGGACUAUUGCUGAAUAACCCAACCCAACCAUCAUGACCUACAAAUAAAGUAACCACUACGCCAAGAGCAAGAACUAACGACAACUUGGUGGAAACAGAAGUCGCCUUCUUUGCACCUUUUACAUUUCCUGCUCCAAGUUCGUUCGACACACGAGUACUGCAGCAUUUUUAAGUUUUACAUUUUCGAAACAAUAUAUUAAUGAGAGGAAAAUACAUAAUUUUCAUGACUCAUGAGAUUACUAACCUUGCAGCUGCGCUAAGUCCAUAUGUUAACAUGUAGCUAAUUGCUUCCGUGUUGACGCUGAAUUAAUUUAAUAUUUACGCAGCAAUAUGCUACUUUUGUUAGAGUGAAACAGAAAAUUAAUAAACUAAAUAGUAAUAUAAAACUUACCAUAUAGCUACCAGAGAGGUGGCUAUUUCCGGGUUCGGCAUCAGUCCUGCCAAGACCACAAGGAUCUCGAACGCCCAAUAUUCCAAGCUGUUGCAAUAACAUAGUCUCUUUAGAUUUAAGAAGCAUAUAUAUGGAAUUAUAAGCAGAUGACAAUAAUUAUUGAUCCGACCUACCACACCAUAGCAGCAGAAGGGAGACUUAAUGUCAAGUUUGUUACUACAUAACGGAUUGAUUCCAGUGAAAAUCCGGUCCAUGUAUCCUUAAACUUGUCGGAACAGAUCACAUAAGUCCCAAGAGAAAGGAAAGCUAUCCACAAUGAAAUAGAUGUAGCUAUUGGAGCACCAAUGAACCCAAGGCUAGUUAAAUAAACCAGAACAUAGGAUAUGCCGAUAUUAAUCACCAAGGGAACAAAUGAGAAGACAACUAAUGGAGUAACGAUUGAUUGUGUUUGGCAAAAUCUCAGUAUGUUUUGUAAGAAUCCGUAAGCGAGUAACCCGGGAGCUUGGUAUUUCAUAUAUAUUGCAGCUUGUUUUGAGAUGUUAGGAUCUUGUCUGAUAAGUCCGAAAACUGAUUCUGUGAAGAACCACAAGAUGGAGAUGAAGAUGGUGAAGACUAAUGAGACUAUGCAAGAUGAUUGUAGAUGAAUCCCUAACAUUCUGUAGCUUUUUGCACCAAAGCCUUGUCCACAUAAUGUCUCCAGUGCUCCACUUAAACCAACCUGAAAAAUAAAGGACAUUAACUUCUAUUUUAAACAAUCCACAUGUAUUAAAUCACCAUUAGUGAUUUCUUUCGUACAAAAUCCUCCACAUGUCACUUUAAAC
rnacentral:lncRNA from 1 species